rnacentral:tRNA from 1 species
GGCGGUGUAGCUCAGUUGGUUAGAGCGCAGGACUCAUAAGCCUGAGGUCACUGGUUCAAUUCCAGUCACCGCUACCA